CCUUCCCCCUAAAAAACCAAAAUGUCUUCUCAAAUUACCCAAAUUGUGAUAAACAUUAGCUUUAAAAAUCUAAACACUACUUGUUCAAAUGAACCCAAUUAUUUUGUUUCAAUUUAACUUUUGUUUUAAAAUGUUUCUUAACUGUUAAUCCAAGUUUCCUCACAUUUUAUACUCUUACACAUGUUUCAAUAGUAACUUAAGUUGUUUUUUUUCUUGUGUACUUUGGUUUAGUUUCUGACGAUUUGUUUUCUUUUCUCUAUUUAACAAAUUUCUAUAUUUAGGUAUAAAACCUCAAUGUUCAGUCCUGGAUUUCAUUUUCACCUGACGCUUCUUUGCUCUUCACCUGUUUUCUAUGGGUGAAAAAGUUGGAAUAGUGUUAACCAGUUUUAUUAUUUUCCUGGUAAUGUGUUAAAACUAAACUUGUUAUUCUUAUACUUCUGUGGAACUCACUAGAAGACCAAAAAGACCAGAAAUUGAUCUUUUCUGUGAAUUACUGUAUUUUUGUUAAUUUUUUGGUUUACUCGAUCGAUUUUGCAAAAUACAAUGUUACACAUAUUUCAGUUCAACUCAAGGAAUGAGCCUAUUUCAUUAAGUUUUAUAAUAAUGAUGAAAAUCGCCAUGAAGACAGGAUCCAUAGAAGCUGAGCAAGACCAAGAAGAAAAAUGGAAGACUAACAAAAAUGAUCUUUAUUGUAUUCUGCCUGCUGUAUCAACAUCCACAAACAUUUGCAAACAAAUGCUUUCAUCUUCAUCGUAAUCAUCUUGAUCAUCAGGAGAGAAAAAAAACAUUGUCAUCGCUAUUACCAUUAGCUUUAACAUAACCAUCAACUUAAUGUUAAUCAUAACUUCAAUAGAGAAAGAAAAGAGCUUGCAAGUAAGUUUGAAAAAGGGUUUAGUUUAUCCUGGUAAGAAUGUUGAAUACGAGCUGGAGUUAAGAAAAGAUGCUGAGAAAGAAUAGAAAUGUAAUAAAAUUACAAGAGAAAGAGAGGAAGAAAGGAGAAGAAAAAAUCGACAGCAAAGUGAAUUUCAUCGAUCAGGGUCAUCCGAAGGCUUUGUAAGAUCAUGUCAACUCGAGUUCUGAUUUUACUUCUCUCCCUGUUUGUCUCUUCAUUCUCAUUUUUACCUUACUCUGAAUGGGUUUCACCUUCCGCGAAGAAGUUAAAUAAUCAUGGAUGGUAAAUGUAUAAAAAAACAUUGAUCUCACCAGAGGAAGGAACAAAAAAGCAAUCAAGAAACAUCAUUGUAAGGUAAACUCACUGGAGAUGGAAAAUAAUUAACUUAAUCAAUAAUUUACAAGAGUUAAAACAUGAGUUGGUUAAAGUGGCAAAAGCAAAGGCUACAAGAAAAAAUACAACAACUAAGAUAACAUGAAAUGGUAAAAUGAUACUUUUCUUGCUGAACAGGAAAAGAUUCAUUAACAUUUAUCUUCAUGGGAAAACUUUGAAUGGCAUCCAGUUUAAUAAUGGUUAAUCUAAUUGAUUUCAAUUUGAUCAAAUUGAGCUGAUCAAUUGACUCAGAUGUGAUUUUGGUUCAAUCUAUCAUUGACAAACGGCUCCAAAUGAAAAUCAAAUUAAUUGGAAACAUUUGAUGCCAACAAGGAAAAAAGUCUAGUUUCUUGGAUGGAUUCAUAAUCAAAUUGGAGGUUAUCAUGGAAACAGUUAAUAUAAUUGGAAUGGAAAUCAUCUCGAAUGUAACUCUUUUAAGGAUCAUCAAACCACCAACUUUCAUCUAUUCAUAGAAGACUAUCAUUCAAGUUGACUCUUUUUUACAACCAGACAUCAUUGGUUAAACACAAAGAAUCUUGUUUCACCAAACAGGUUGUCGGUAACUUGCAAUAAUGUAAUCAAUUGAGGUAAAACAAUUGAUGAUUGAUUGACACAAUUUACACAUAUUACCUUAAAUUACCUAUCAAGCUGUUGUCAACGCAAAAGAAGAGUUUUUUGGCCAUAUAACAGUGAAUUGUGCCACGGAAACGUUUUUAAUGGUGGAAAUCAAUUAAUAGCCAACUAUUAAUUCCAUAAAUCUUCAACUUUGAAUGUUAUCAAAUGAUAAUAAUUUAGAUUUGCCGUUGAAUGGGUGUUGCAAUGUCAUUUCCGUUGAUUAUGAUGAUUGUAAUAGUUAUUAUUGUUAAUUAACGAAUGACUGGUUAUUAUGAACGGUUCUUGUUCAAUUUAUCAUGAUUAAUGCUGGAGGACCUCCUUGAAGCGACAUGAAGAGACUCAAAGACAGAGAAAUUAGACAGAAAAAAUUGUGGCAAUAAAAAGCAAUUGAACGUUGAUAGUGAAAAGUGAAACAAAUUGGUAAAUCGAUGAAUGAAACUGAACGUUUCAUUGAUGAUUUUCAUUUUACUAUAUCAGAGGUUGAUGAAAUUGCUUUUUUGUUAUCACAAACAUCACCGUAAGAUAAAUUUAUCAUUGAAAUAUGGUUAAGUGAAUGAAAAUUGUAUGUUAUCUGUUCAUUUUGAAGUAACUUUAUUGAUUAGAGUUGAGAGUUGGAUAAUUUUUGAUCAAUGUAAAUAACUUAUUAGUCAGGCAAGUAUAUCAUUUGACACACAAUUAA